rnacentral:lncRNA from 1 species
AACACUGGCUGUAAAACAGAAUCAUAUGUGGGUUCUUAAAAGACUGAUGCUAGGGGCUUAUCCCAGACCAAUGGAAAUGGACUCUCUGGAGGUGAAAACCAGGUAUAUGUACAUUUUUUAGCUGCUCUAAUGAUUAUAAUGUACAGUCAGGGUUGAGAACCAGUUGGGUGAUUUCUAUGCAAAAGCUAUUUCUAUUUGAAAUAUUUUUCUGGACAAGCAAUUGACAUCUCUGUAGUUCAUAUUUUACCAUCUUUUUAUAUAACUUGCUACUGUCCACUCUGACAAAUAUUAGUAUUUAGUAUUCUCAUUCUACACAUCAAAGAGGAAGAAGAGAAGACUUAUUCAAAGGGAACAAUGAAUCAACAGAGUUGGAAGAGAAACCUUUGGUGUAUGCAUUUCAACAUACCACUUCCCUUAAAUUAUGUCUGUACCUUGUAACCAAGAAUUUUGGUAUAUUAUUUAAGAUGCAUUGUAUUUUUCUUUGCAAAGGUAAACUGGCCUCAAAAAAGUGGAUAAUAUUCUAACAUGGGAAUGCAAAACCAUCAUGCCUGGAAGAUCACUGCAUCAAGGUAAGAGGCUUUGGGAUAAGAGAAGUUAAAUACUGGACAGUGAGAACAUUUUCAAAGUAAAAAACUAUAAACAUUAGCAAUAUUUCAUACUAACCAGAAAUGGUUACUCCCAAUACAUUUUUCUUAUGGCUCUAAAUAUUUUCUUACAAAUGGCUUAAGCUGUGUGAGUGUGUGUGUGUGUGCACGUGUGCACACAAAUGCAUAGGCUCUGAGCUUAUCUCUACAAGAUCUUGUUUAGGGCAUUGCCACCUUGAGUUUGCUUUGCUAGUAUAGAGAAAUCUCCCCUGCUCUGCUAGUUCUGCAACUUGCUGUAUCCAGAAUUGUUUUGUGUAUUUUACCCCCAAGUGCAACUCAUGCAACCUGUGU